GCGUCUAUACAUGCACUAGCGAUUGGGCGGGGUCUUACCGCCCCGCCCAGGAGCUUCCCGGAAACGAAAGUCUUCCGGUUCCGGGGGAAGUAUGGUUGCAAAGCUGAAACUUAAAGGAAUUGACGGAAGGGCACCACCAGGAGUGGAGCCUGCGGCUUAAUUUGACUCAACACGGGGAAACUCACCCGGCCCGGACACCGCGAGGAUUGACAGACCGACAGCUCUUUCAUGAUUCGGUGGAUGGUGGUGCAUGGCCGUUCUUAGUUCGUGGAGCGAUUUGUCUGGUUUAUUCCGAUAACGAGCGAGACUCCAGCCUGCUAAAUAGUCGGCGCAUUGCCUGUGCGCCGCACUUCUUAGAGGGAUUUUCGGCGUUCAGCCGCACGACACGGAGCAAUAACAGGUCUGUGAUGCCCUUAGAUGUCCGGGGCUGCACGCGCGCUACACUGGCGAAGGCAGCGUGCCUGUCCUCUCCCGACGGGGACGGGUAAACCCCCAAAAUUCGCCGUGAUUGGGAUCGGAGAUUGCAAUUAUUCUCCGUGAACGAGGAAUUCCAAGUAAGUGCGAGUCAUCAGCUCGCGUUGAUUACUCGCCCCCCCCCCUUUUAAAAAAAAAAAUAAUU
rnacentral:rRNA from 1 species